UCCAGGGUAGCCUAGUGUACAUGGCAUCUGCCUGGUAAAAUAAACACUGUGAGUUCGAUUCCCAUCCUUGGAU